GGCAAAGUGAUUUCUCCACGACGAUUCCAUACGAUGCGACUGCACGGUUGGUGCGGUGACUGGGUAACCGGCUGCCGCGCAACGUGUAGCGGGUCCGAUUCCCGCACGGAGCAACUCUUUGUGUGAUUUACAAAUUGUUGUUUUGGAUCUGAGUGCCCAGUUGUUGGGAGACGGAUCUGUUUCAGCGAGUCCAACUCCACAAGAAGCAGCCCCGACACCACAGGACCCGCUGAAUACUGGAACUGUUAAUGGAAACCCGAAUCCAGCGCCUCCAAACGCAGAGUCCGAACAACCACAGCAACAAACAGUGGCUAACCCUCAGCGACAACCCGUGGCUACCCCUCAGCAACAACCCGUGGCUACCCCUCAGCAACAACCCGUGGCUACCCCUCAGCAACAACCCGUGGCUACCCCUCAGCAACAACCCGUGGCUAAACCUCAGCAACAACCCGUGGCUACCCCUCAGCAACAAC